GACGAACGCUGGCGGCGUGCUUAACACAUGCAAGUCGAACGGAGAUAUUUAAAAGCUUGCUUUUAAAUAUCUUAGUGGCAAACGGGUGAGUAACGCGUAAACAACCUGCCUAGUAGAUGGGGACAACAGUCGGAAACGAUUGCUAAUACCCAAUAAGCUUUUUAGUACGCAUGUAUUAAAAAGGAAAAGGUGGCGAACUUAGAGUGCUAUCGCUAUAAGAGGGGUUUGCGUCUGAUUAGCUAGUUGGAGAGGUAAAGGCUCACCAAGGCAAUGAUCAGUAGCCGGUCUGAGAGGAUGAACGGCCACACUGGGACUGAGACACGGCCCAGACUCCUACGGGAGGCAGCAGUGGGGAAUCUUCCGCAAUGGACGAAAGUCUGACGGAGCAACGCCGCGUGAGUGAAGAAGGUUUUCGGAUUGUAAAGCUCUGUUAAACGGGACGAAAGAGCUAUAUGUGAAUAAUGUAUAGAAGUGACGGUACCGUAAGAGAAAGCCACGGCUAACUACGUGCCAGCCGCCGCAGUAAGAC
rnacentral:rRNA from 1 species